GAGUUUGAUCCUGGCUCAGAAUGAACGCUGGCGGCGUGCUUAACACAUGCAAGUCGUGCGCGAAAGCGGCUUCGGCCGCGUGUAGAGCGGCGAACGGGUGAGUAACACGUGGACAACCUGCCCAAGAGUGGGGGAUAACCUGGGGGAAACUCGGGCUAAUACCGCAUACGUUUCCGGGACUCCGGUUCCGGAAGGAAAGAUGGCCUCUACUUGUAAGCCAUCGCUCCUGGAGGGGUCCGCGCCUGAUUAGCUAGUUGGUGAGGUAACGGCUCACCAAGGCGACGAUCAGUAGCCGGCCUGAGAGGGUGAACGGCCACACUGGAACUGAGACACGGUCCAGACUCCUACGGGAGGCAGCAGUGGGGAAUAUUGGAC
rnacentral:rRNA from 1 species